rnacentral:rRNA from 1 species
GAUGAACGCUGGCGGCGUGCCUAAUACAUGCAAGUCGAGCGAACGGACGAGAAGCUUGCUUCUCUGAUGUUAGCGGCGGACGGGUGAGUAACACGUGGAUAACCUACCUAUAAGACUGGGAUAACUUCGGGAAACCGGAUCUAAUACCGGAUAAUAUUUUGAACCGCAUGGUUCAAAAGUGAAAGACGGUCUUGCUGUCACUUAUAGAUGGAUCCGCGCUGCAUUAGCUAGUUGGUAAGGUAACGGCUUACCAAGGCUACGAUGCAUAGCCGACCUGAGAGGGUGAUCGGCCACACUGGAACUGAGACACGGUCCAGACUCCUACGGGAGGCAGCAGUAGGGAAUCUUCCGCAAUGGGCGAAAGCCUGACGGAGCAACGCCGCGUGAGUGAUGAAGGUCUUCGGAUCGUAAAACUCUGUUAUUAGGGAAGAACAUAUGUGUAAGUAACUGUGGACAUCUUGACGGUACCUAAUCAGAAAGCCACGGCUAACUACGUG